rnacentral:lncRNA from 1 species
GGGUGGGGCCAUUCCUUGGCUGGCAGUCCUGGGUUCUAUAAGAAAGCAGACUGAGCAAGAAUUGAGGAGUGGGCCGGUAAGCAGCGGUCUUCUGUGGCCUCUGCUUCACUCAGUUCCUGCCUCAAAGUUCCUGCCCUGUUUGCGUUCCUGCCAAGACUCCCUUUGAUGAUGAACAGUGCUAUGGAAGUGUAAGCCUAACAGACCCUUUCCUCCUCAGCCUGCUUUUUGGUCACGGUGUUUCCUCACAGCAAUAGAAGCCCCGACAAAGGCAAGUUGGCACCAGAAGGGGAGCACUGCUGCGGUAGACCUGACCGUGUUUGGGGGAGGACUGUGUAAAGACUUUGGGGCAUUGGCCUAGAAAAGGCAUUGGCUCAAAGAACUCAGAGCACUGUUCUGUGGAAACUUGGAAGAUGAGACUGUUGAGAGCAGCAUGGAUGACGGAGGCCUGGCUUGUGGCGUUUCAGAGGGAAGUUGAAAGUCUAGGACAUUGGUUAGCUUAAGAUUCUCUGCUUCUGGUUGGCCGAGGUUGAAGAAUCAGUUAUAAUUAACAAGAUACUAGAUGUACUGAAGUGAAACCUUUGUGUUGCUGAGAUACUCCAUGCUGGUCAGCCGCACCUGGAGAAUGCUGUGGAGGUGGGAUCCAGAAAAUGUUUGAGAUUUCAGCACACAGGUUGCAGAGGUGGCCAAGAUUGUACCUCAUGCCGGCACCUGAACAACUUGGUAGUUUAAGACUCACCCAGGUGGUACUGAUUUUGAAGGCAUGAAGGAGUGAUGGACAACAGCUAAGGUUGGGCACUGUGAGAGGUCAGGAGAGGUCAUUGCUGAAGGCGCAGCCUCUGUGGCAGUUGACGGUUCCAGGACUGAAGGAGUCAUGCAAAAAAGUAGAGGCUUGGCACCCUGUGAGAGGCUAUUGGUUGUAGAAGACCCAGCAUUUUGGAGCUACUAGAACCAUGGAUGACCACUGAGAAGAGAAACGGUGGGGAAUGGAGCCAGCCAGAAGCUAGAAGAUGAGUUGUGUGUGCUGCAGAAGGCAAAGUGACCCAACCCCUCUGGAGGGGCUCAGAAGAUGGUGAGUGAAUCCCAGGUAUUGGACACUGAGUUAUUGACCCUCUUGGAGUUUGGUUUUGCUUUGUUCAGACUGUGACUAUGCCCAAGUUAUUCCCUCUUGAAAUAAGUAUUUAAUUUUGCUUAUUCUGGAGCCCACAGUUGAGACUGAGUUUUAAAAGACUUUGUAUAUAGAAAGAAAUUGGCUAUUUUAAAGGAACUGAAAUUUUAGUGUGUUUAAAUUUGUAAAUAUUGUGCGACUCUUAAACUUACCUAUUUUUGUUUUUCUAUUAACUUAUUCAUUUUCUGAUUGCAUUGUUGGGAGCCGCCCCCACAUUCGCCAUCACAAGAUGGCGCUG